rnacentral:sRNA from 1 species
GCCAAGCAUGGUGGUGCAUGCUUGUAAUCCCAGCUACUCAGGAGGCUGAGGCAGGAGGAGCUUGGGUUCAAACCCAGCCUCUG